UACAGAGGUCUCAAGCGUUGUUCGGAUUCAUUGGGCGUAAAGGGUGUGUAGGUGGCGCCGUAAGUCGGGUGUGAAAUCUCGGGGCUUAACUCCGAAACUGCAUUCGAUACUGCGGUGCUUGAGGACUGGAGAGGAGACUGGAAUUCAUGGUGUAGCAGUGAAAAUGCGUAGAUAUCGUAAGGAAGACCAGUGGCGAAGGCGGGUCUCUGGACAGUUCCUGACGCUGAGGCACGAAGGCCAGGGGGAGCAAACGGG
rnacentral:rRNA from 1 species